GCGCCCGUAGCUCAGCUGGAUAGAGUACCGCCCUCCGAAGGCGGUGGUCACAGGUUCGAAUCCUGUCGGGCGCACCA
rnacentral:tRNA from 1 species